ACAUGAAGUUAGGUAAGCAAACCCGCUGAAUUUAAGCAUAUAAGUAAGCGGAGGAUAAGAAACUAAAUAGGAUUCCCUCAGUAAUGGCGAAUGAACAGGGAUAAGCUCAGCAUGGAAAUUGGGGCCUCCGGCCUUGAAUUGUAGUCUUGAGAUGUGUUACCAACGGAGGCGCAGAUGUAAGCCUCUUGGAAAAGAGCGUCAGGGAGGGUGAGAGUCCCGUAUGUCAUCUGCAGUUCUCUGUGCACGGUACAUUUUCUAAGAGUCACGUUCCUCGGGAUUGGAGCGCAAAUUGGGUGGUAAAUUUCAUCUAAAGCUAAAUAUUGGUUCGAGACCGAUAGCAAACAAGUACCAUGAGGGAAAGGUGAAAAGGACUUUGAAAAGAGAGUUAAAAGUGCCUGAAAUUGCUGAAAGGGAAGCGAAUGGAACCAGUUGUUCUUGGCGAGUAUUGGUGUUGUCUAAGGUGAUAGCUUGCCACUUCAACGCAAGUGUGGUGGCAGGUUUUGAUCUGGAUGCGAUACUGCUUCUCGCCUUGCGUGUCAACGUCAGUUCAUAAUUGAGGAAAACUCUAGGGACAUGGUAAUUUGCUUCCGGGCGACUGAAUGUCCCCAGUUGAACUCAUUUUUGAACUGCUCACUGUGUGUCUGGUCGCACUGCUCCGUGUGCUUGCUUGCAAUCUUCUGCUUGGCAUGAAGGUUGCUAGUGCCAGGAGCAUGUCCUUGACAUAAGAACGAUGACGAAAUGGUUUUAUUCGACCCGUCUUGAAACACGGACCAAGGAGUCUAACAU
rnacentral:rRNA from 10 species